UACGUAGGGUGCGAGCGUUGUCCGGAAUUAUUGGGCGUAAAGGGCUCGUAGGCGGUUUGUCGCGUCGGGAGUGAAAUCCACUGGCUUAACUGGUGGCUUGCUUUCGAUACGGGCAGACUGGAGGUAUGCAGGGGAGAACGGAAUUCCUGGUGUAGCGGUGAAAUGCGCAGAUAUCAGGAAGAACACCCGUGGCGAAGGCGGCUCUCUGGUACGUGACUGACGCUGAGACGCGAAAGCGUGGGGAGCGAACAGG
rnacentral:rRNA from 1 species